rnacentral:misc_RNA from 1 species
AAAAAUUAAAAAUAAAUAAUGUAAAUUCCAACUUCAGCUAGGUUUGAUGUCAAUCUUAAAACAGGAAAAAAUUUUUAGUAAUGUUAAAGUUAAUUUACCCAUUUAUUUGAAGGGCUUAUUGUGGUCUUUCGUUUGCAAGAUAUCGGAAUAUAUCUUGCAGAAAGAGAAGGGCUUAAAAGCCAGUUUUAAUUUGCAUUUUCUAAAAAUUAAGGAUAAACAACAAGUAAUGCCGAUUUUAAUAAAUCAAUAAAUUUACUAUUAAAAAUAUCUAAAUUAGUGAGACAAAAGAAGUCUCUUUUUUGGAUCAUCUGAAUAAGCAUUAUACGGAUAUGCGUUAUCAAGCUUAAUGGUAAAAAAUUAAUAGGAUAGUAUAAUUGAAAAACUUUAUUGUUUAUAGUACUCUUAUA